CUGCCCUCAAGCACGGCUUGUGUGUUGGGCUCUCGUCCCCCCGAGUCGGGGGGACGGGCCCGAAAGGCAGCGGCGACACCGCGUCUGGUCCUCGGGCGUAUGGGGCUUUGUCACCCGCUCCGCAGGCCCGGCCGGUGCCCGCCGACCCUCAACCAUGUAUUCUCCA
rnacentral:misc_RNA from 1 species